rnacentral:rRNA from 1 species
ACGUAGGGACCAAGCGUUGUUCGGAUUUACUGGGCGUAAAGGGCGCGUAGGCGGGUAGGUAAGUCAGUGGUGAAAUCCCAUCGCUUAACGAUGGAACUGCCAUUGAUACUGCUUAUCUAGAGUACAGUUGCCGUUGGCGGAAUAUGACAUGUAGUGGUGAAAUACUUAGAUAUGUCAUAGAACACCGAUUGCGAAGGCAGCUAACGAAGCUGUAACUGACGCUGAGGCUCGAAAGUGCGGGGAUCAAACAGGA